AUGAUUCUGUGGGGUCUUCUCCUCUGCCUGCUGACAGCCCCUCUGGGUGUCCUGUCCCAGGUGCAGCUGCAGGAGUCGGGCCCAGGACUGGUGGCCCCCUCCCAGACCCUCUCCCUCACCUGCUCUGUCUCUGGUUACUCCAUCUCCUCGGGUUACUGCUGGGCAUGGAUCCGCCAGGCCCCAGAGAAGGGCCUGCUCUGGUUGGGGGAUAUAUGUUAUAGUGGAAACACCUACUACAGCCCGACCUUCAAGAGCCGCGUCUCCAUCACCAGAGACACGAACAAGAACCAGUUCUCCCUGCAGCUGAGCUCAGUGACCCCCGAGGACACAGCUGUGUAUUACUGUUCGAGAUGCACAGUGAGGGGAAGUCAGGGGCUAAGGGAGGAGCUGCAGGAGGAGUCGGGGGAGUCUCCAGCCCACACCCCUCAGCUCACUCCUGGACACUCGCCCUGCAGGGCCUUCAGGAAGUGCCACUGUUACUCACUAGUGUCUAUUGGUCAGGAAGCUGCUGUCGGCAUCAUAACUGAAUAA